UACAGAGGGUGCAAGCGUUAAUCGGAAUUACUGGGCGUAAAGCGUGCGUAGUCGGUUAUCUAAGUCGGGUGUGAAAUCCCCGGGCUCAACCUGGGAAUUGCAUUCGAUACUGGAUAGCUAGAGUUCGGCAGAGGGAAGCGGAAUUUCCGGUGUAGCGGUGAAAUGCGCAGAUAUCAGGAGGAACACCGGUGGCGAAGGCGGCUUGCUGGGCCUUACCUGACGCUGAGGAGCGAAAGCGUGGGGAGCGAACAGG
rnacentral:rRNA from 1 species